rnacentral:rRNA from 1 species
AACGUAGGAGACAAGCGUUAUCCGGAGUUACUGGGCGUAAAGGGCGUGUAGGCGGUCGACUAAGUCUGGCGUGAAAGCUCGCGGCUAAACCGCGAGAGGUCGUUGGAUACUGGUUGACUAGAGGACGGUAGAGGCGUGUGGAAUUCCGGGUGUAGUGGUGAAAUGCGUAGAGAUCCGGAGGAACACCAGUGGCGAAGGCGACACGCUGGGCCGUACCUGACGCUAAAACGCGACAGCAUGGGGAGCGAACGGG